rnacentral:piRNA from 1 species
UAAGUGGAUGUCUAACAAACAGGUUGA